rnacentral:rRNA from 1 species
AACGAACGCUGGCGGCAGGCUUAACACAUGCAAGUCGAACGCCCCGCAAGGGGAGUGGCAGACGGGUGAGUAACGCGUGGGAACAUACCCUUUCCUGCGGAAUAGCUCCGGGAAACUGGAAUUAAUACCGCAUACGCCCUACGGGGGAAAGAUUUAUCGGGGAAGGAUUGGCCCGCGUUGGAUUAGCUAGUUGGUGGGGUAAAGGCCUACCAAGGCGACGAUCCAUAGCUGGUCUGAGAGGAUGAUCAGCCACAUUGGGACUGAGACACGGCCCAAACUCCUACGGGAGGCAGCAGUGGGGAAUAUUGGACAAUGGGCGCAAGCCUGAUCCAGCCAUGCCGCGUGAGUGAUGAAGGCCUUAGGGUUGUAAAGCUCUUUCACCGAUGAAGAUAAUGACGGUAGUCGGAGAAGAAGCCCCGGCUAACUUCGUGCCAGCCGCCGCCGUAACAC